rfam:Staphylococcus aureus plasmid pS194 sequence
AUACAAAAAUUAAGAAAAAAACACCAACUGUUUUUCUUUAAGGUAAGUCGCAUUCACAAACUUUGGUCAGGGAGUGAGCGACUUCUUUUUUUGUUUUUUU